rnacentral:lncRNA from 1 species
AUACAAUUUUAGUUAGUUAAGAUGUCAAUGUUAUGUUUGUACAUGAACAGUUAAACUUUACCUAUUUGUAUCAGUAUCGGUAUCGGUGCGCUGGCCCCGGUGUAUCGGUACAGAGACUCAGGCGAGCCCGUCUCCAUGGUGAGGUCCCGCGGCGUGUCUGUACCUGAGCGGCCGGUGUUUACGGAGCUGAGCUGUGAGAGAGCCUGCGGCCCAGCCUGGAGCUGUUUAUACAGGCUUUAGUGAAGACAACAGGAAUAUAGGGUCUGAACAGGAGCUCCACAGCGCUGAGUGAGUCAGCAGAUAAACUUGAGCUAAAAGAUGAUGACCAGAAUCCCUCAGUGUCUUGAAUGCUUACUGGAGGAUAGUGUGAGAGAGACGUGAAUAACGAAUAACUAAGUGUCCCAAGGCAUAAGGAGAACAAAGUCAUGGAGCAGGCCUAUGAUUCAGACUUGAUCAGUUGCAGAGCAUCUUUCUGUAAGCCCACAUCCAGGACUGAACAUGUGGUUGAGGGACAAGACAACCUUUCUAAAAGGCUGAGGUUUUUAAAGUCUUCUGCCCCGGCAACCAGCAUUAAAGGAAGCUCCGGCAGUAAAUCAGGGGAGGUUAUCAGUAAUGUAAUUAACAUAUGUCCUUUUACAAGCAAUGAUAACUUGCUGUGCUGGACAAAUCUGACUUCAACAGGAAACUCCAAAUACCAAGAGAAACAGGGAAUGAGCUUCAUAAUCACAUCUUUAAACAAUCCACUGUCACUUCGACCUUACAGGCGAUCUCCACGCAGAAUGAACUGGUCAAAAGAGGUGGAGAACAUACCUUCCUUGUAUACACUGAACAAGGACAGUAGAAAUGCCUGUGGAGCAAUGGGUAGCAGCCUUGGAUACACUGACACCUCUCAUUGGUGCUCUCACUCCAGCUCAAUAGAUAAUGGUGUGCCAUACAGCUCAUCUACCUGGACCUCUGAAGAGAAAAGACAACUUAAAUUACCUGGAUUAUCUGAUGUGGAAAGUAAUGUCCCCAAAAUUGGCACCAGCAUGUCUAAACAAAGGGUGGAGGAGAACAAAGAGUUUGCCCAAGAGCAGGUAUCUUCAUUUGAAGAGGAAACACUCCGUGAGCCGGUUUCUCUUAGCUUUGAAGAUGAGCUGAAGAGGAAAAGUGUGAAAAUGCUCACACCUUACCCUGCAUCUGUUUAUAAAGCCUUGCCGAUAGUCAGUGAAACAUAUCCAGUGGUGUACAGAGCUCAGCAACCUCAACAUGAGCCCUUUAAAAGCCCAGGAUUUCACUCUUUGGAUCCCUCUGAACCGUUGACCCAAGACGCUGAAGUCCGACAGAGCAAGGUCUACCCAGCCAUCUUCCACAUUACUGAGUCUAUGCAGACAGACUACAUGCUGCGCAAUCUGAGAGGAAAGCAUAUAAGUGAAGACCUUCAGUGUUCAAGGCCUGAUCUAGAAUCACCUCUCAGUGUAAAGAGGGCAGGGGCCUAUCAUCUCAACCUGUGCAUGCUCUCAGCAGAUGGAAAUGUGGUCAAGUCUUCCAACCUGGGCCGACUUCCUAUCCAUAAGUAUACAUCUGUGUCUAAACCUAUAGGUAAAAGUACACAAAGUCCUCUGAUUGUGCCUAAAAAGAAAGAGCUCUUAUCUACUUGUGUUGGUCCUGUCAUUAACGGCAAAAACCCCAAAAUCACUCAUGACCCCAGAACUAUAUUCUCAGCCUAUUCUAAACCACUGCAUGACUCCCCAAGGAGAAGCUUAAGCAGCAGAUGUAACACCUCAGCCACACAGUCGCAGCGGCCUAUAGCCAGCAAUCCAAGAAACAAGACAGACUUUGUAAUAAUCUCAAAACCAGUCAAGUACAGUCAAAACAAAUUGAAAGACUUCACCAAAGAACACACAUCUAAGGAAAACUUCUCCAAGGAACCAACAGAGCUGUAUGAAAACCCUGUUUCACAGUCAGGUGUCUGUGAAGCUCAUGAGAUGAGCUCUUUCUCACAAACCAGCGAUGAAGACCACAGACUCCAAGACUCUACAAGUCAAAAAAAUGAAGCCGUGGUCACUGAUCACACUGACAAUGAGGCCUUUAACAAGCUGAGUUAUUCUCUGCAAAGUUCUAAGACCAUAAUAAAAAUUCCAACUGCUGAAAAUGUGGACUAAAGGAGCAUAAAGUGCUGUUUAACUUAUAAAGCAAUAUUUCGGUCAUGAAACCAUCCUGAAACAGCUUUACAAGAUUUGGAUUUCCUGAAGGCUAGAAAACCAGAAAUACAACAUGUACAAAAUAAGCAUUUUGUGAUUUUUUUUCAUAAGUGUUUUGAAACAUUUCAGCCCUUGAGUGAUCCUUGUAGAGCAAAUGAAUCUGGUGAUUUUAUAUAUGUAUGUAUAUCUUACCAGCUAUUUUCAGUUCUAAUUCUUUGUUUCUUUGGUUUAACAAUCUGUGACUCUGAGCAGAUGAAGAUUGCGAUUUUCAGCAGUUCUUGUAUCCAUGUCAUUAGUAGCAUUACAGUUGCUCAGGUACCCAGCAAAAGCUGUCACAGCCAGAAGAAAAAGCUGUUUUGUGCAACUCCCUCUGUUGAUAACGUAUCUUCGGUUCUGCUAAAACUGGUGCAAACAGAGGUUGGUUCAUUGAAAAGCCCCAAAUCUCUUAUAAGCCUGAACUGAACCAAUUCCUGAACCAUGAUUCUUUUGGUCUGAAGGGGCUAUGGGAGUGCCUGGUUUAAACCAUUCUAAAGGGAGAGACAAUUAUGUUUAUUUGAUUGGAAAAGUUAAUGUUUUUUUUUUUCGUUAAGUGGACCAUAGACCAUUUUUUUUUUUGCCAAUUAAAAAUUCUUCCAAUAUGUAGAUAGUUCAGCUAAUGUAAUUUAAGAUGUGGCAGACAUGUGGUUAAUUUAUUUGCAAUACAAAAUGUGUUAUUAGUGAGAGUCUGAGUUGUCCUGUGGUAUGCAUUUUACAUAAUCAUGGAUAAAUGGUUAAAACAGGAUAUUUGACAUCACAAGAUCCUGAAGCUAAACCAUCUACAAGUGAGGCAGCCACUGUAUCUCUGACAGAGAGAACAGAGAAAAACAAGAAUAAAUCAAAGUGAAUACAGCA